rnacentral:ncRNA from 1 species
GUACACCUUCAAAAAGCUCUGAUCGAUAGGUGGGAGGUGAUGACACGUAGACCAAUCCUGAAAAACCACUCUUUCGUCUAAGGAUGCCUAACCGCCACACCGAUCAUUUGCAUGUGGGCGGGGGAGGACACUACAUGGUGGGUAGUUUAUAUGGGAUGGAUGUCUCCUAAAGAGUAAUGGAGGUAUGCGAAGGUAGGCUCAAGCGUUGAUUCUACUCGUGAGCGUAACGGUAUUAAGCCUGCCGACUAUGAGACCGACUGGUCGAAUAUAGACGAAAGUCGGUCAUAGUGACCCGAGAGUCCCGUGUGAAGGGGCUCUCGCUCAACAGAUCAAAGGUACGUC